rnacentral:rRNA from 1 species
UACGAAGGGGGCUAGCGUUGCUCGGAAUCACUGGGCGUAAAGCGCACGUAGGCGGCUUUUUAAGUCAGGGGUGAAAUCCUGGAGCUCAACUCCAGAACUGCCUUUGAUACUGAGAAGCUUGAGUCCGGGAGAGGUGAGUGGAACUGCGAGUGUAGAGGUGAAAUUCGUAGAUAUUCGCAAGAACACCAGUGGCGAAGGCGGCUCACUGGGCCCGGUACUAGACGCUGAGGUGCGAAAGCGUGGGGAGCAACAGAGU